rnacentral:rRNA from 1 species
UACCAGCUGGCUGCAACUGUUUAUUAAAAACACAGCACUGUGCAAACACGAAAGUGGACGUAUACGGUGUGACGCCUGCCCGGUGCCGGAAGGUUAAUUGAUGGGGUCAGCGCAAGCGAAGCUCCUGAUCGAAGCCCCGGUAAACGGCGGCCGUAACUAUAACGGUCCUAAGGUAGCGAAAUUCCUUGUCGGGUAAGUUCCGACCUGCACGAAUGGCGUAAUGAUGGCCAGGCUGUCUCCACCCGAGACUCAGUGAAAUUGAACUCGCUGUGAAGAUGCAGUGUACCCGCGGCAAGACGGAAAGACCCCGUGAACCUUUACUAUAGCUUGACACUGAACAUUGAGCCUUGAUGUGUAGGAUAGGUGGGAGGCUUUGAAGCGUGGACGCCAGUCUGCGUGGAGCCGACCUUGAAAUACCACCCUUUAAUGUUUGAUGUUCUAACGUGGACCCGUAAUCCGGGUUGCGGACAGUGUCUGGUGGGUAGUUUGACUGGGGCGGUCUCCUCCUAAAGAGUAACGGAGGAGCACGAAGGUUGGCUAAUCCUGGUCGGACAUCAGGAGGUUAGUGCAAUGGCAUAAGCCAGCUUGACUGCGAGCGUGACGGCGCGAGCAGGUGCGAAAGCAGGUCAUAGUGAUCCGGUGGUUCUGAAUGGAAGGGCCAUCGCUCAACGGAUAAAAGGUACUCCGGGGAUAACAGGCUGAUACCGCCCAAGAGUUCAUAUCGACGGCGGUGUUUGGCACCUCGAUGUCGGCUCAUCACAUCCUGGGGCUGAAGUAGGUCCCAAGGGUAUGGCUGUUCGCCAUUUAAAGUGGUACGCGAGCUGGGUUUAGAACGUCGUGAGACAGUUCGGUCCCUAUCUGCCGUGGGCGCUGGAAGACUGAGGGGGGCUGCUCCUAGUACGAGAGGACCGGAGUGGACGCAUCACUGGUGUUCGGGUUGUCAUGCCAAUGGCACUGCCCGGUAGCUAAAUGCGGAAAAGAUAAGUGCUGAAAGCAUCUAAGCACGAAACUUGCCCCGAGAUGAGUCUUCCCUGAGACCUUGAGUCUCCUGAAGGAACGUUAAAGACGAUGACGUUGAUAGGCCGGGUGUGUAAGCGCAGCGAUGCGUUGAGCUAACCGGUACUAAUGAACCGUGAGGCUUAACCUUACAACGCCGAAG